AGCUGAGUAGCCGCGUGCGGAUGUGAUAAACGCUGAAGGCAUCUAAGCAUGAAGCACACCUCAAGAUUAGAUAUCCCAUCUCUUUAAGAGAGUAAGGUCACUUGUAGACUACGAGUUUGUUAGGUCGCGUGUGUAAGCGCAGUAAUGCGUUUAGCUAAGCGAUACUAAUUGACCGAGGGCUUGAACUA
rnacentral:rRNA from 1 species